UGGGCAACCUGCCCCUCUCUCUGGGAUAACCCCGGGAAACCGGAGCUGAUACCGGAUACUCCGGCUGGAUCGCAUGGUCCGGCCGGGAAAGGUCCGCCGGAGAGGGAUGGGCCCGCGGCCUAUCAGCUUGUUGGUGGGGUCAUGGCUCACCAAGGCGACGACGGGUAGCUGGUCUGAGAGGACGACCAGCCACACUGGAACUGAGACACGGCCCAGACUCCUACGGGAGGCA
rnacentral:rRNA from 1 species